rnacentral:rRNA from 1 species
GACGAACGCUGGCGGCGCGCUUAACACAUGCAAGUCGAACGGAAAGGCCUGCUUUCCCUUGUGGAUUGCGGGUACUCGAGUGGCGAACGGGUGAGUAACACGUGAGUGAUCUGCCCCCAACUUGGGUAUAAGCCUGGGAAACUGGGUCUAAUUCCCGAUAGGACUGCAGGGUGGUGCCUGUGGUGGAAAACGAUUUUCUAGUGGUUGGGGAUGAGCUCGCGGCCUAUCAGCUUGUUGGUGGGGUAAUGGCCUACCAAGGCGGCGACGGGUAGCCGGCCUGAGAGGGUGGACGGCCACAUUGGGACUGAGAUACAGCCCAGACUCCUACGGGAGGCAGCAGUGGAGAAUAUUGCACAAUGGGCGGAAGCCUGAUGCAGCGACGCCGCGUGGGGGAUGACGGCCUUCGGGUUGUAAACUCCUUUCGACCGCGAGGAAGCCACCUGGUUGGAAGGGUGGUGACGGUAGUGGUAGAAGAAGCACCGGCUAACUACGUG